UACGUAGGGUGCAAGCGUUGUCCGGAAUUAUUGGGCGUAAAGAGCGUGUAGGCGGCCAGGUAGGUCCGCUGUGAAAACUCGAGGCUCAACCUCGAGAUGUCGGCGGAAACCAUCUGGCUAGAGUCCGGAAGAGGAGAGUGGAAUUCCUGGUGUAGCGGUGAAAUGCGCAGAUAUCAGGAGGAACACCGAUGGCGAAGGCAGGUCUCUGGGCCGAUACUGACGCUGAGACGCGAAAGCGUGGGGAGCGAACAGG
rnacentral:rRNA from 1 species